GACGCUUUUAAAUUUUCGAAAGUUAUAAUCAAGAAGUUCAAGAAACACAACUUCUCAACCGUCACCGUUGAAGGCCGUCUUUUUUCCCGCCGAGUGCUAUCGGAGGAGGGGAAAUCUGAGGGAAAGCACCCUCUCUCGCUCUCUCUCGAUGGGAGCGAGGCUGGAUCCUCGAUGGUGCCGAGAAUGGAGGAGGAUGCAGAUUGCGUGCCUGGGUUGCCACAGUUCAUCCUUUACAAUUCGCUACUUGCCUCUGAUGGUGGAGUAAGACUGUAAGUUUCCUCCCUCCUCCAUUCGCUCGUUCUGUUUUUCUGGUUUGGGAAAAUUUUUGAUCCACAAGAACAAUGAUCGCUAUGACCGGAAGGGAACGGGGGCAUCUAAAAGGUCGAGAGACAAAGGAGCCAAGUGGUGACACUGCAAUAAUUCGCGAGAUUUUUUGCGUUUCAAGCGAGUCACGAAUAUUUCACGGAAUCAAAGCGUUCGAGGGGGCGACGGGAGAGAGAGGUUUUCGAGAGGGUUUGGGAGAGAUUGCCGUCAUCCUCCGAAACCGCCACAUCUUUGCACAUCUCGUCCUCUGCUGGGCCAACUUCCUCAACCUCAUCACCGCCGGUGACAACAUCUCAUCGCACCACCACGUUUCCUGGUUCAUGGUUUGGGGAAUCGUUCCCAAUAUCCGCACAAGCACAAGCGCAUGUUAGGACUAACUCAGUGACUGUUACCUAGCUUGUGCAUCUUAACGCACCUCCUGGUAACCUGGCAUUUGAUGGGUUCACUGGUGCGACUCAAGGUAAGACAGUUGAAAUGACAACCAAAUGCUCUGUGCGUUUACAAAGGGAAGUUUGUCUAUUUUGCAAAAAACUGCCUGCAUAAUGAUUUAGUACGUUUCUUUUCCAAAUGAAAGAACUUGGGGAUAACACCAAUUAUCUAUUUGCAAAGAACUGGUUUAUGUUACUGGAAGCUGUACAUGCUUCGGAAUGGGAGGCAAUGCAUGGACUAUAACUUACAUGUGUGAACGGGGGGGGGGGGGUGAUUUGCCUUUGCCAUGGUGGGCAUGUUGUGUAGAUUUCAUGGGCAUAGAGAGAGUGUGUUUUUCUUAUUUUUUCUUUACUUGAUCUUUUUAUUUCAACGAAACAACUGCAAGCUUGUUUCCAAUAAAUCUGUCCCUUGGGGAACAUAAGAUGAGGCUAUCCUCCAAGAGUUUACUAGAUUUGGUUGUUCACAGGUUUAAAAGCAAUCUUUGUAGGAAUCUCGUUAUUGUAGGAUAUGGUUGUCAAAUGUCUUGUUUUGCCUAAUCAUAAAUCAUUGGCAUUUUGGAUGUACAUGAAGUUCAUCCAACUCUUUGUAGGCACUGGGGGCCAAAUUAGAGCUCUAUAGAUGAGGCUGUUGUCAGGCUUGAAUGUGCCAAUGAAUGGACCAACAUGUGGCUACUUAGCAAUGGCUUGUCUAUUAGCCCUGCUUUUAGUCUCCCUAGAGUAUUAUGCAUACAUUCUUUCAGUUGGCAUGUGCUGUUGCAUGUAAGUUUCAGUUGAUCAAGAAUAUAUAUAUUCUUGAUGGGUGGUGAAUCCUGCAAAUGCUCCUUCAGUUGUUGGCAAGCUUUUAGACGAUGAGUGUCCUGAAGAUUUUAUCAAAGGCCUUAUACUCUUGGUUUCUUCUUUUCUUCAUGUUAAGACCCUUGUAGGUAAGUCGAGAAGAGGUAAUUCUUCUCUCUCUCUCUCUCUCAAUAUUUGAAUGUUUACAUUUGCAAGAUCAACCCAGCUAAAAUCUUGCCGCUUUUUGAUGAACCCGCUUACAUGGCCCGGGUAACAGGUCAUUAUAUUGGGUGAUAUUUGCGGGAGGGAAAUUCUUUCAAGUCUGUGAUGGACGUUUGGAAAUUGAAAUCAUGCAGGAAGUGGUGUUUGAAGCAUGGAAAAGUUGCAAGGAGAUGGUGUUGAAGGAGUUCUUGCAUGCACAUGGUCAUGUGGGUGGUUCUCCAUUGGAGUGUUCCGAAGCUUUUCCAAGAAUUGGUCAUUUGAGAGUGAAAAGUAGAGGGAUUGUUCUCACUCUGAAAGGACCAUGAUUAGAUCUGGACCCAUGAAGAUGAUAGAAGGCAAAAUAGAAUAUGGAUUCAGAAAAUUCAAGCACAUGUUUACUGCUUACAAAAUCCGAUAUGAUGAUGUUGAUCUUCUGGCAAUUCGUUAGAACGAGGAAGGAGAGUACAGCGGCCUGGAGCAUCAGGUUGUUAGAGGUGUUGUUGAAAGUCUCAAAAUCAUUACCAGACAAGCUAGUCUGACAUUUGCAGAAUAUGCUUUCCACUAUGGUAAAACCCAUGGAAGAAAAAAAGUUUCCCCCAUACACAAAGCCAGCAAUAGGAGGAAGACUGAUGGACUUUUUCUUAAGUGCUACCGAGAGGUAGCAGAAAAGUAUCCAGAGAUCAAUUAUGAGGAAGUCACCAUUGAUAAUUGCUGUAUGAUGGUAUGCUAUAUAUGGUUACUAAUUCUAUGAUGAUGAAAACAAAAAUGUUCAUAUUCUAUUUAUACACUGCAUAUUUGCUUGUUUUUAAUCAAGCCAUCUCUUAGUUUCUUAAAAUUGAUUUGCAUUGUACCUUAGUUACUCUGAGUUGAGUGGAAACUUUCAUUGUGUGGCUUAAAUGAACGUUA